rnacentral:lncRNA from 1 species
CUCAAACCCUCGCCCACUUUCUACAUCCGCCGCCGCCACGCUCGAGCUCUCUCCCCGCCGCCACGCUCGAGAUCUGCAGCCGGACGCGUGCUGUCCAACCGGCCGGGACGCCGCCCCUUCUCCCUCUCCCUCCAUCCUCCAUGCUAUCCACCGCCGACCCCACUACAUACUGCCGCCGCCAUGCGCUCGCCUGCCCUCCACCGGUAGGUGCUCUCUCCGCCGUGAUGUGCUCGAGCACCCUCGGCUGUCAGGUGGUCUCUCCUCCUGUUCCAUGUAUCCCCCUCCCCUAUCGCUCACCACGGGAACGCAUCCCGGAAAUCCCACUCCAAACCCUAGCAUGCAGAUCUCUGUCUAUUCGCUUGAUUGACCAGAGCAGCAGAUUGGAUCGAGGGCGGCCACAUGAGCGUACCCCCGCCGCAUUCGCCUAGACUUGCGUCGCUCCUGCCUGGAAUCGUUUUGCUACUUCGUGGUGUGGCCUUGCCGUCGCGUGGGGUCGCAGCCACCCGUCGCCACUCGCCAGCAAGGUUACUUUCUUACCAAUCCCUGCUCUCCUCGGUCCUCCCGUGCUGCUAUGGUCCUCCGCUGUACCGGGCGUUUGCUUGCUUCUGCCGUACUGCUUGCUUGCUGGCUGCUGGGCUGUGUGCGUGCUUGCUUGCUGGGUGUCGGGGUGCUAACACUUUUAAUUUCCAUUAGCUUCUCUUAUAUGCAACUAUGAAUCUAUGAUGUAUAUUGAUAUUGCUGGCUGAUGGUGACCUGCUGAUGGUGCUGCUAUGCUGGCUUAGGGAGUGACAUAUCGACAUUGGCAUCUGCGAGCAGUGGCAAUGAUAUUAUAACAGGUAAACAAUCUUCGAUUGGUGGGACAAUUACUGUUAAGUUUAUCUCAAAGUCUAGUGCUAGCUAGCAUAUGAUGUAUCGCUGUAACAUUAGUCCACGAGGAACUGAGGAUUGAGGAAAUUGAUGAUCAUUCGGUCAUCGAGGACUUGGAAAGAGGCAUCGGGGCAACAAAUGGGAUAGUAUUUUGAUCUCAUUUCACACAUUCAAUAAUUCUUUUGUCUUUAUUACAUGGCAUUUUAUUAAUAUUUAUAUAUGCUUGCCUCAUCGCCAUAUGUCUGUUUCUAGAAAUUGUUGUAUCCCUUGUCCCUGUAUUAGUAUCGUUGUUUCAUGUCUCUUUUGUUCCCACCGGUGUGGCCUCAUAGUUUUCCGAGCAAGAAACACAAUCUGAAUAAGCAAAAGUGAAGUUUAUCUGCUGGGAUUGAAGUUGACAAAAGUAGCUAGAAGUGAUUCUUUUUUGAGGGCACUAGCUCUCUCCUAGUAGAACCUAUCUAUAUUGUUGGUUUUCAUGUUUGUUGGCAGUCGGAAAAAUCUCACUAUAAAUUGGUCAAAUAUAGAAACCUAGUUGAAAUUCCCAAUCCAUCUAUAGACACCUGAAAUUAUCAUGAAAAUAGAGCUAAUAUUGACCUGAUGUUGCAUUAACAGGAAGCAAACAAACUGUUGGAUUUAUGUCUUACUGUAGAAGAAUCUAUUGUUGAUGUGAUUUGCGCACCAGCCACAGUUUAACCACUACUAUGUCAAUCUCCCUUCGCUUGUCACGUUUAGACUCAUUUUACUGGCCUAUAUAUUGCUCUAAACCUUGUCUUGUCACCAUAGGUUGGUGCUUUGUGUGUUGUUCUAUUUUUUAAAAAGAUGGAACCUAGAGAGGCUAGAGUUCGUGCAAUGUAACUGCUAAUGAUCAUGUUCUGUGAGAAGUUUCAUUGUCAUGAAUCUGUAGGGACCUCUUUUCUUCAAACAAAAAAGGGAAGAAUAGUGUACACGAAUGAGAAAUAAUGAGAACAAGAGGAAGAGCCCCCAUUAGAUAGGUGGAAAGUUAAUGAAUAUAGCUGAUGUAUUUUGGAGAUAAACACAACUCUAAUUCAGUAUCUAAUUAUCUACAAAGUAAAACUCAUAAUUAUAAUAUUUGCACAAUUGGUUCAAGCGAGGCACUCAUAUACUGUGUGUUUUUUAGUAGGAGGAAAAAUGGCAAGCGCAAGCGGCAAGGGAUCCCUCAUUUUCUUCUAGCACUAACCUAUCUAUGCAGACACCCUCCCACGCACCUGUAACUACGUUGAUGAAUGGGAUGAUGAAGGGAUUUUCUUUCGUAGAAGAGUUGUUGCAAAGGGUAACCCAUUACUCGUGGCCUCCCCAUUUGUGUCACAAUCAAUGCAUUUUUAUGCACAACCUGACUGUAGUAGACCUUACAGAAGCUACCACAAAGUUAAUAUUUGUACCUUUGCUAAAUGAACUGUCGCUAUGAGUGUGUGUCAUUUAAGAGCACCCUUCUGAUGGUGUCAUAUCACCAUGGAUACUCAGUUUUGCUUAGAUAAACAUGUGCAUGAUAUUGUCUCCUAACCAUACAAAUUAUACUAAUAGAUCAAUAUGCCACUUGAUACUGACAUGUGGUACACACCUGAUGAGUGUACAUUGUGUUGGUUAUGCAAUACAUUAUGGCUAUGCCCCUUGUCUUGCUCCUAGACUUUUGGGGGAUUAAGCACUUUACCAUGCCCUUUCACAUUAGUGUAUGUGUAUUAAUAAGGUCGUGUAUGUGGGUGUGUACGAACGCGUGAAUGUGUCAUGUGCUCCUUUAAGGAAUGGAAUUGGAUUUCAAGUCACUGAUUAAAUGUUUGAUGUGGUCAAAGACACCAUCCUUUAAAGAGAAAUCCUAACAAAAUGCGGACAUGGUGAACAAUUUAACUUGGGGAUAUUUAUAUGGGUUGAGCCCAUGCCUGUUUACUUAGCCGCUGACAACAAAGAAGUUCUUCUUCUAGGCAAUCCUGUAAGGCUAAAUCAGAACACUUGAAUGUCCAGCAAUCAUUAGUUUUAGUGCCAUAAAUGUACUCUUAUGUAUCGUUUUCAUAUUCCUCUACUCCAGCUUUGAAAUAAGCAACCUCAUAACUUGAAACACUGUUCAGCUCUAAAAGAAGACAUAGGCUCUUAAUUGGGAGGUUAUGUUCAUUUUCAAUCCGAAGGAAACAAAAGACAAUGGAAUGAAAUAUAGAAACAUACAUUGUGCUGCUAACUUAUUAUAAAACCUCCAAGUGUGGACACAGUGAUCUAACUCAUGACUUUAGUAGAAUAGAACUAUGUUCUUGGUUUAAGAGUGAUGAAGAAAAAUAGGAAUUGACACAUUUGCCUUAUUUUUUGUGGUUGAUGCCCUUUCUAUCCUUGGUACAUUAUAUGAUGGGGUAGCAGUAGUGGACGGCCUGAAUGACAUAAAACACCAGCAUGUCGAUGUUAUUGGUGUGAGAGAUCUUUGUCAUAUUAAGAUAUGCAUGGUGGUUUAACAUACUGCAUCUGGCCAACUGCGCGGAGCUAGAUGAAGCGGCUGCACGUACAGUAGAGAAAAGAGAAGAAACAAGUGAGAGACGCAUAGAUAAUGGUGAUGUUGUGCCGCACGGCUUACAUGCAAAAGUAACAGCAAGCACACCUAUGCUAGAUGCGGUGCCAUAACUGAGAUAAAAUAUAUGCACUGAUUUCUUAGCUCACCGCCUAUGUUGUACUACUGUAUAUAUAAUGAAUGCACCUCUUUACUCCCCCUUUUUUUUCCUAAGUUAGCUAAGAAUGACAAUUGACUAGGAUUUUUUUUCUCUUCGUCAAGUCAUUGAGCUGAUUCACAAUGCUCAUUUGACCCCUAACACACCAAAGUUAGUGUUGGUCUAAUUUAAAAUAGAGUGCAGGAAACUUGGGAGUUAGUUUCCUAUAGAGUAAUACUUAUUCUAUAUGCAGCAAUUCAGUUGCCUUGUCUGAAUAGUUCGUUUGAUGCUAUGCUAUGCUUUAUACAAAUUUUUAUGGUGCCAUUGUCUUUAUGAACGUAUGAUUUUAAUUGCGACUUCUUUGUCUUUUGUAGGAACAUGCAAAAGAGGACGACGAACCAUGAAGUUGACAGUUUGCGUCAACUGGAUAUUUUUUGUAUUUUUUAAUGGUGACUAAACUAUUGGUGAUGCAUUUUAGCUAUCAUUUUGUAAACCUAUGGUGUCUUGGACAGUGAACCACAAUGUUUCCUCUAUUUAAUUAGUUACCUUAGUUUAUCGGAAAUUUGGAUUGUAAUUAUGCCCAUAACAGAUGAACUAUUUAUGUGUGAGAAUUAAUUAAUGUAUGUUCUAGUUUAAUAUUGUUGCUGGAAAUGUGUGUUAUUAUUGUUAGAAGAUAUGUAACUUGAUAAUGGAC